rnacentral:rRNA from 1 species
GUGCGUAGUAGCAUUCGCCUCGCAGCUGGGACGCGGCGCGGCCACGCCCAAGGCGCGCUCGCGCGCCACCGCUCUUUUCGUGGUUGACCUCGGAUCAGGUAGGAGUACCCGCUGAACUUAAGCAUAUCAAUAAGCGGAGGAAAAGAAACCAACAGGGAUUGCCCCAGUAACGGCGAGUGAAGCGGCAACAGCUCAAAUUUGAAAUCUGGCCCCCGCGGGUCCGAGUUGUAAUUUGCAGAGGAUGCUUUUGGUGCGGCGCCUUCCGAGUUCCCUGGAACGGGACGCCAUAGAGGGUGAGAGCCCCGUCCGGUCGGAUGCCUAGCCUCUGUAAAGCUCCUUCGACGAGUCGAGUAGUUUGGGAAUGCUGCUCAAAAUGGGAGGUAUAUGUCUUCUAAAGCUAAAUACCGGCCAGAGACCGAUAGCGCACAAGUAGAGUGAUCGAAAGAUGAAAAGCACUUUGAAAAGAGGGUUAAAUAGUACGUGAAAUUGUUGAAAGGGAAGCGCUCAUGACCAGACUUGGGCGUGGUGAAUCACCCGGCGUUCUCGCCGGUGCACUUUGCCUGUCCAGGCCAGCAUCAGCUCGCCUCGGGGGAUAAAGGCUUCGGGAAUGUGGCUCCCUCGGGAGUGUUAUAGACCGUUGCGCAAUACCCUGGGGUGGGCUGAGGUACGCGCUCCGCAAGGAUGCUGGCGUA